rnacentral:rRNA from 1 species
UAGGGAAUCUUCCACAAUGGACGCAAGUCUGAUAGAGCAACGCCGCGUGAGUGAAGAAGGUUUUCGGACCGUAAAGCUCUGUUGUUGGUGAAGAAGGAUAGAGGUAGUAACUGGCCUUUAUUUGACGGUAAUCAACCAGAAAGUCACGGCUAACUACGUGCCAGCAGCCGCGGUAAUACGUAGGUGGCAAGCGUUGUCCGGAUUUAUUGGGCGUAAAGCGAGCGCAGGCGGAAGAAUAAGUCUGAUGUGAAAGCCCUCGGCUUAACCGAGGAAUUGCAUCGGAAACUGUUUUCUUGAGUGCAGAAGAGGAGAGUAGAACUCCAUGUGUAGCGGUGGAAUGCGUAGAUAUAUGGAAGAAUACCAGUGGCGAAGGCGGCUCUCUGGUCUGCAACUGACGCUGAGGCUCGAAAGCAUGGGUAGCGAACAGGAUUAGAUACCCUGGUAGUCCAUGCCGUAAACGAUGAGUGCUAAGUGUUGGGAGGCUUCCGCCUCUCAGUGCUGCAGCUAACGCAUUAAGCACUCCGCCUGGGGGAGUACGACCGCAAGGUUGA